rnacentral:tRNA from 1 species
GGGCGAGUGGUGAAAUUGGUAUACACGCAUGCCUUAGGAGCAUGUAUCGCAAGAUGUGAGAGUUCGAGUCUCUCCUCGCCCACUA